rnacentral:rRNA from 1 species
UACGUAGGGGGCAAGCGUUGUCCGGAUUUAUUGGGCGUAAAGAGCGUGUAGGCGGCCAGGUAGGUCCGUUGUGAAAACUCGAGGCUCAACCUCGAGCUGUCGAUGGAAACCAUCUGGCUAGAGUCCGGAAGAGGAGAGUGGAAUUCCCGGUGUAGCGGUGAAAUGCGCAGAUAUCGGGAAGAACACCGGUGGCGAAGGCGGCUCUCUGGGACGGAACUGACGCUGAGGCGCGAAAGCGUGGGGAGCGAACAGG